CGGACGGGUGAGUAACGCGUGGAUAACCUGCCUUACACUGGGGGAUAACACUUAGAAAUAGGUGCUAAUACCGCAUAAGCGCACAGCCCCGCAUGGGGGAGUGUGAAAAACUCCGGUGGUGUAAGAUGGAUCCGCGUCUGAUUAGCUAGUUGGCAGGGUAACGGCCUACCAAGGCAGCGAUCAGUAGCCGGCCUGAGAGGGUGGACGGCCACAUUGGGACUGAGACACGGCCCAGACUCCUACGGAAGGCAGCAG
rnacentral:rRNA from 1 species